CAUCCAUGUUUCGCUCCAGCUCAUCCCAUCCUCCCAUGGGACAGGGAAGAGAAAUGGCUGCAGUGGAGAUGGCUCAGGGUUUCCAGUUUCCAAACUGGAUAUAAUCUCCCAACUGGAACAAGCGGAAGAACCAUGGGUCCCAGACUUCCAGGGUUCAGAGGAAAGACAGAUGCUGAGAGCUCCCUGCACAGCAGGUGAUGCAAUGGUAUGUGAGAAUGAGGAGCAGAAUUCUCAUCCGGAAAACGUUGAGCAAGUGGAUAAACACA